UACGUAGGGGGCAAGCGUUAUUCGGAUUUACUGGGUGUAAAGGGAGCGUAGACGGCAGCGCAAGUCUGGAGUGAAAUGCCGGGGCUCAACCCCGGAACUGCUUUGGAAACUGUGCAGCUAGAGUGCGGGAGAGGUAAGCGGAAUUCCUAGUGUAGCGGUGAAAUGCGUAGAUAUUAGGAGGAAGACCAGUGGCGAAGGCGGCUUACUGGACCGUAACUGACGUUGAGGCUCGAAAGCGUGGGGAGCAAACAGG
rnacentral:rRNA from 1 species